rnacentral:lncRNA from 1 species
ACGAAACACAGUAAAGGAAAUAAAUCAGGAAGUUGGCAAAACAGGGCCAGGCAAUCGCAUAAAUACACGAAGGAACACGAGUCGGGAUCAAAGAACCUUGACUUCUGUACGAUGAAGAUUCAAAUCCUUCUCUUCUUCUUCGUUGCGUCAGCGAUUCUCUUGGCCAAUGCGAGAGAAUACAGUUACAGAGGCCAUAGUUACAACGCCCCGCAGCUGAGAGGACAGGGUUAGCCGCCACGCCCACUAUGUUGCAGACAUGGGAGGCUUUUUGCACUGGUGCUUAAGAUCACUCUCCGGAAUGCACACAUGUCUGCAUGAAUUGGAUUAUGCAUAUAAUGUAUAACAUGAAAUGCGUGUGGUAAAAAAUCA